AGUGUUAUUGGUUUCACCGGUUGUGCCGGCACCGAGGGCUGUGGUUGCCCAAUCUGUCAUAGUUAAUCAACUCUCAUCUCUUAACACUGGCUGCAGUUAUCAAUGAGAUUUACAUGCAAUAUGCUAAGAUGGAAAUAAUGCUUUAAAAAAGAAAACACACAAUCAUUUUGCGGAAGACUUGAGAAAAACGUUUUCAGCUUAAAGAGAAAAAAGCAGUGAGACCCCUUCGGCGUCUGUGCAAAACUGUUUGCUUGGCUCUGGAGGUGAUAAAAAUAAUUUAUGAAGCUCUACAUUUUUAGCAAGAGGAAAUGACCUCAGCUUUUGGCAAUCUGAUGCAGUUAGUGAAGCCUCUCUCUACUACUUUUAUGGAUUUCCUUGAGCUGCAUAUUCUGUGACCUGUAUUUCAGAUUUAUUGGCAGAUACAUAAGCCACAUUAAGUAACAUAAAAUGCAGUGAAUGCAUCAAACAACUCAGCGGGGACCGACUGACAGCGGGCGAGAGGCUGCCUCUUCGAAGAAGUCAUUCCGAAUCUGAUACCUGUUUAUGCAUUUGUCUAACCAGGCUCUGGAUUUUUAUUUUAAAUAAAGACAUUAUUUCAAAACAAAA
rnacentral:lncRNA from 1 species